UACUACGUUACAAUCUCUUUACAUAAAUGAUUGCACAGAGCUUCGGGAAAUUCCAAGACUUCCGCAAUCUAUAAGAACUGUGGCUGCAGAGAAUUGCUAUAGGCUGGAUCCACAAUCAUCAAGCAGAUUAUGGAAUCAGUUUGGAGAAAUUCUAGGGAUUCUACCAAAUACAGUUGCUCAAGCUGCAAGAAGCUUUGAAUCUAAAAUUUAUUGGGAUUAUCUUAUACUACCAGCAAUUGAGAUUCCAAAGUGGUUCAAAUUCAACCAUCAUCAGAGUGUUGGAAAUCCCGCAUCAUUCUUGGUUGGUCCUAAAUUUUCAAAUUUCGUUGUUUGUAUUGCUUUUCCAUCAAAGGAUGUGAACACCAAUAUAUAUUGCUUUUGGUUGGUUAACAUUUUCGUCAAUGGUUGUAAACAACAAAUCAAAAGUUGGACAAUGGUUAAUUAUGACCAUGUUUGGUUAAUUUAUGGGAAAGUGAAUAUAUCAAAUCCAUCUGAAGAGAAUUGCAUUGAGGUUGAGGUUAUACCUACAAAAAAUUUUUCAAAUGCUGAAGAGAAUCUUGAGUAUAUGCCAGAAGAGAAUAUUUCUCUAAAUAGAUUAAGGAUUUAUGUAGAAUGCAUCUGUUGUCCUCAAAAACCCAAUACGGAUCAAUGGGCUUCCAACAAUGGGGAAGAGGAUUAAGGCCGUGUUGGAAUCCCGCGCUGACUGCGGAGACGAAACCAUCGACCAAUCCAUGCUAGACGUCCCCAAAAACACUACCUGUCCCGCUUCAGAUGGGUUCGAAUCCGAUUCCAACCCUGGAAACGGCAAUUUACCAAGGGGUUUCGUGAUCAGGUUCAUCUUCAAUCCCCAAUACCUUUUUCAGUGAUGAUACCAACACCAAUCUGUAUCCACCAUCAAAGAAGACAAAAACAUCUUGAUCUAACUUUGAAGAGAAGGGAUGCAACAAACACAUGUGAAGUGGACACUCCUAUUAAACCACCUAAUGUACUUUUCAGUAGUUUCCUUGGUAGUAUAGCACACAAUCAGAUGUUGAAGGUAUGGAUUCCUCUCUCUCUCUCUUCGUGAUAUGUCUAUAUAAUGGUGUAAAAUCGGUAGAGAAUUUGGUAAAUAUAACUAUUGUUGGAUGGUUCAUACAGCUAUAUGUGUAAUACAUGAGGUGUGAUUGAAGAUGAAAAAAUAAGGGAUAAUUCCUCCAGAUAUGGUGUAAUUGGAUUCUCA